UGAACGGUUCAGAUUAAAAAGGUGUUUAUAACGUUUGCGUUCCUCCCGUCUUCCGUUGCGUUGGUCUCUCGUCCGUGGAAGAUAGAAAACAGGGCCUACCCGCCUCGUGAUUCAAUAUAGAAAUGGGCCCCGCUGUGAUUCCAUGCGUCAUGUGAACUCACAAAGCAGGUAAGAAAGUCGGUAAUUAAACUGGUAGACCAAUGCGUUCCAUGGUAUUCUUGACCCAACGACAAGUAACGAGGACUUAAGAUCCGACGCUUAUGGGUGUUCUGAUGAGAUCUGACGGUGAGCAUACAAUGAUCUCCGCAGACGCACGUACGUGCGCUACUUCAAAUAAUCAUGAAGAAUCGCCUCCGCGCGCGCGCUGUUGCUUUUCCUAUCGCCUCUCUGUCUCGUCUCCCAGGAAAAGAGGGGAAAGGGGGAGACGCUUCGGAAGGGUGAAACCCUAAUCCCAUGUGGAUUCUUUAUUGAUUUCGAGUAAUCUUGUCUUCUUUUUUCGUAUUCUUUUCAUUUAUGUUGUUACCGAUCACAAGAUCCGAGCGGAUCGAUCGACUUCUGUGGCUCUCGUUUCGGUAGAUGUAUGUUUUCUCCUAGGGAUGGCCAUGAUCUUUGAUUCAGCAAUCCGUUGGUUUUCGUGUUUAUAUUUGAUCGAUCCGGAUGAGGUGGGUAUAAAUAAUUGUUGUUUGCCUGUAGAAAACUGUUCGAUCAGGUAGGUCUGCAAUGUUUUUAGGGCCGUCUUGUUCUAUGUGUUCGAUUUAGUAUAUGUAAUUAGAUCUCUUUUUCCGUAAGGUUUGUAGGUUGUCUCAUGGUUCUUCAAUUUCCUUCUACAUGUGGCUUUUGGGAUCCUGGGUUUCUUAGAUUUGUUGGCGUUUUAGAUCUUGAAUCUUGUAGCUUCUGUAGUGAUGACACUUCUCUUGAUCUGUUGUUUGCAUUCUGUAAUCAUGAAACAAUUACAUUCUUGAUCUGUGUUCUGGUUCUAAUUUCUUCGCCCAGUGACCUUCGAAGUUCAUUCUUUCUUUAUUGCUGAAAUGCCACAAAAGACAAAUGAAAAUGACAAUGAAUUUGGAGAUAUUAUAGUAGUGAUAUGUUGCUUGAAUGGUUGACAUGUAGGUCAUUUUGUCAGCAUGGCAUGGCGAAACAGGGUAAUUACCCGACUGUCAUGCAGAAAGUUGCUUGUCAACUCCACCUCAGGUCCACCUUUUCUCGAGAGAGGCUGCACAUAUGGGGUGUUUCAGAAGCCAUCGAUGCAGAAAAGGCGUUGCGAGCUUUGCUAUUGAUUUCCCUAUGGGAGGAGUUUCUGCUGUUGUUUCAAAGACGGCUGCAGCUACUAUUGAACGUGUGCUACUGCUGAUCGCCUCCUUUGCCGGAACAAUUAAAGAUGAAGGUGCUUUGUCUUUGUGGAGAGGGAACACAGCUAAUGAUGUCAUUUGUUAUUUUCCCACUCAGGUAAAUGUAUACGUGGUUAUGUUAUGUGUCAUAUGACCUCCGGAGAAGCUGUCAAGUAGCUGUUCGACGAUGCUGGCGCGAACAAACUCCGUGCCGUAGCUGGUUCUGGUGUUCUUGCCGGUUACGACAAGCAGCAGUUGAUUGUCUUCAAUAGUUUUCGGUAGUGGGAGCUGCUUCCUACAUUUCUGUCAGGUGGAGUUUUGCUCACCAAAAUCUUGGUUAAUCUAUGAUUAUUGGAUACUGCUGCGUUGCAGUGAUGUUCGCAAUAUGUUGCCUUUGUUCUACGAAUUCCUAAUUUUAUUUUUUUCCUUUUCUAUGGGAUGACAAUUGACAAGAGAUAAAAUUACUUUUGCAAUGCGUUAUUUUUCUCUCA